CUUGGUCAUUUAGAGGAAGUAAAAGUCGUAACAAGGUCUCCGUUGGUGAACCAGCGGAGGGAUCAUUACAGGACUCGCAAGACUCCUACAACCCUGUGAACCUACUAUACGAACGUUGCUUCGGCGGGUGCGCCCCGGGGAUUCGUUCCCGCGGCGCGUCAGCCCGCCGGCAGCCUACAAAUUCUGUUUCUUUGCGUUGGCAUCUCGAGAAAAACAAAUAAGUUAAAACUUUCAACAACGGAUCUCUUGGUUCUGGCAUCGAUGAAGAACGCAGCGAAAUGCGAUAAGUAAUGCGAAUUGCAGAAUUCCGUGAGUCAUCGAAUCUUUGAACGCACAUUGCGCCCGCCAGUAUUCUGGCGGGCAUGCCUGUUCGAGCGUCAUUGCAACCCUCAGGCCCUGCCUGGCGUUGGAGGACUGCACUGCAGCCUCCCAAAGCAAGCGGCGGCGGCGCCCCAAAACCGAACGCAGUAGUUACUUCUCGUUCUGGGUGUGGGACGUUGACCUGCCGGAAAACCCCAUCUUUUUAGUGGUUGACCUCGAAUCAGGUAGGAAUACCCGCUGAACUUAAGCAUAUCAAUAAGCGGAGGAGAGU
rnacentral:rRNA from 1 species